AGAACGAACGCUGGCGGCAUGCCUAACACAUGCAAGUCGAACGUGAUCCAGGCUUCGGCCUGGUGAAAGUGGCAGACGGGUGAGUAACGCGUGGGAACCUGCCCUGUGGUAGGGAAUAACCGUGGGAAACUGCGGCUAAUACCCUAUGAGUCCUUCGGGAGAAAGAUUUAUCGCCAUAGGAGGGGCCCGCGUCGGAUUAGGUAGUUGGUGGGGUAACGGCCUACCAAGCCUUCGAUCCGUAGCUGGUCUGAGAGGAUGAUCAGCCACACUGGGACUGAGAUACGGCCCAGACUCCUACGGGAGGCAGCAGUGGGGAAUAUUGGACAAUGGGGGCAACCCUGAUCCAGCAAUGCCGCGUGGAUGAUGAAGGCCUUCGGGUUGUAAAGUCCGUUUCGGCGGGGAAGAUGAUGACGGUACCGCAGAAGACGCCCGGCUAACUUCGCGCCAGCAGCCGC
rnacentral:rRNA from 1 species